rnacentral:rRNA from 1 species
GCGUUGCUCGGAAUGACUGGGCGUAAAGGGCGCGUAGGCGGUUUACACAGUCAGAUGUGAAAUUCCAGGGCUUAACCUUGGGGCUGCAUUUGAUACGUGUAGACUAGAGUGUGAGAGAGGGUUGUGGAAUUCCCAGUGUAGAGGUGAAAUUCGUAGAUAUUGGGAAGAACACCGGUGGCGGAGGCGGCAACGUGGCUCAUUACUGACGCAGAGGCGCGAAAUCGUG